rnacentral:rRNA from 1 species
AGCGAACGCUGGCGGCAGGCUUAACACAUGCAAGUCGAGCGCCCGUAGCAAUACGGGAGCGGCAGACGGGAGAGUAACACGUGGGAACGUACCCUUCAGUUCGGAACAACCAAGGGAAACUUUGGCUAAUACCGAAUACGUCCGUAAGGAGAAAGAUUUAUCGCUGAAGGAUCGGCCCGCGUCUGAUUAGCUAGUUGGUGAGGUAAUGGCUCACCAAGGCGACGAUCAGUAGCNGGUCUGAGAGGAUGAUCAGCCUCAUUGGGACUGAGACACGGCCCAAACUCCUACGGGAGGCAGCAGUGGGAAUAUUGGACAAUGGGCGCAAGCCUGAUCCAGCCAUGCCGCGUGAGUGAUGAAGGCCUUAGGGUUGUAAAGCUCUUUCGGCGGGGAAGAUAAUGACGGUACCCGCAGAAGAA